UCAGAUUUGAGACUCUGUCUGGAGAGUAAAAAGCAGCCUGCUCCUCAAACUCAAAGAAAGUAGAAUACGGAAACAAAACGAGUUUACUUGAACUUGACCAGUUACACGAUAUCUGACAGCUUUAGUCCGUAUCGCAUUUUGCGUUCACUAGAAAAAUAAACAUGUUUUUAGCAUCUACAUUCAGAAUCUUGCAUCAACACAGCUUACAAGUGACGUGCGGCUACUGUUUCUAUGUACAGACCAUGACGGCACACAAGUAAACGUUCAACUCGAAUCAAGAAAGCAAAACCCCGGAGACACACGCUUAUCAACUUGUCGUGAUUCUGCUUCCGCGUUGUUCGCUUUGUAGUAGCUACUGAGACACGAUCCUUCGUUUUAACAGCGACCGUAUGUCUUGAAGCCGCAGAGCAUAUGUAUCAGGCACUGGGCUUGGUAUUUACCACCAGGCAACCCUUAA
rnacentral:lncRNA from 1 species